rnacentral:tRNA from 1 species
GCCAUCCUAGCUCAGUUGGUAGAGCAGCCGCCUUGUAAGCGGCAGGUCAUCGGUUCGAGCCCGAUGGAUGGCU